GUCCCUGUAGCUCAGAAGGAAGAGCACGGUCCUCCUAAGUCCGGGGUCGCGGGUUCGAAUCCCGCCAGGGACACCA
rnacentral:tRNA from 3 species